GACGAACGCUGGCGGCGUGCUUAACACAUGCAAGUCGAACGGAAAGGCCCUUCGGGGUACUCGAGUGGCGAACGGGUGAGUAACACGUGGGUGAUCUGCCCUGCACUUUGGGAUAAGCCUGGGAAACUGGGUCUAAUACCGGAUAGGACUACGCGAUGCAUGUCGUGUGGUGGAAAGCUUUUGCGGUGUGGGAUGGGCCCGCGGCCUAUCAGCUUGUUGGUGAGGUUAUGGCUCACCAAGGCGACGACGGGUAGCCGGCCUGAGAGGGUGACCGGCCACACUGGGACUGAGAUACGGCCCAGACUCCUACGGGAGGCAGCAGUGGGGAAUAUUGCACAAUGGGCGCAAGCCUGAUGCAGCGACGCCGCGUGAGGGAUGACGGCCUUCGGGUUGUAAACCUCUUUCAGCAGGGACGAAGCGCAAGUGACGGUACCUGUAGAAGAAGGACCGGCCAACUACGUGCCAGCAGCCGCGGUAAUACGUAGGGUCCGAGCGUCGUCCGGAAUUACUGGGCGUAAAGAGCUCGUAGGUGGUUUGUCGCGUUGUUCGUGAAAACUCACAGCUCAACUGUGGGCGUGCGGGCGAUACGGGCAGACUUGAGUACUGCAGGGGAGACUGGAAUUCCUGGUGUAGCGGUGGAAUGCGCAGAUAUCAGGAGGAACACCGGUGGCGAAGGCGGGUCUCUGGGCAGUAACUGACGCUGAGGAGCGAAAGCGUGGGGAGCGAACAGGAUUAGAUACCCUGGUAGUCCACGCCGUAAACGGUGGGUACUAGGUGUGGGUUUCCUUCCUUGGGAUCCGUGCCGUAGCUAACGCAUUAAGUACCCCGCCUGGGGAGUACGGCCGCAAGGCUAAAACUCAAAGAAAUUGACGGGGGCCCGCACAAGCGGCGGAGCAUGUGGAUUAAUUCGAUGCAACGCGAAGAACCUUACCUGGGUUUGACAUGCACAGGACGCCGGCAGAGAUGUCGGUUCCCUUGUGGCCUGUGUGCAGGUGGUGCAUGGCUGUCGUCAGCUCGUGUCGUGAGAUGUUGGGUUAAGUCCCGCAACGAGCGCAACCCUUAUCUUAUGUUGCCAGCGCGUAAUGGCGGGGACUCGUGAGAGACUGCCGGGGUCAACUCGGAGGGAGGUGGGGAUGACGUCAAGUCAUCAUGCCCCUUAUGUCCAGGGCUUCACACAUGCUACAAUGGCCGGUACAAAGGGCUGCGAUGCCGUGAGGUGGAGCGAAUCCUUUCAAAGCCGGUCUCAGUUCGGAUCGGGGUCUGCAACUCGACCCCGUGAAGUCGGAGUCGCUAGUAAUCGCAGAUCAGCAACGCUGCGGUGAAUACGUUCCCGGGCCU
rnacentral:rRNA from 1 species